rnacentral:rRNA from 1 species
GAUGAACGCUAGCGGGAGGCUUAACACAUGCAAGUCGAGGGGCAGCAUAGGGUAGCAAUACUCUGAUGGCGACCGGCAAACGGGUGAGUAACGCGUAUGCAACCUACCCUGUACAGGGGGAUAACCCGGAGAAAUUCGGACUAAUAUCCCGUAAUAAUAUCCGGAGGCAUCUUUGGAUAUUUAAAGUUCCGACGGUACGGGAUGGGCAUGCGUAACAUUAACUGGUUGGUAAGGUAACGGCUUACCAAGGCUAUGAUGUUUAGGGGUCCUGAGAGGGUGGUCCCCCACACUGGUACUGAGACACGGACCAGACUCCUACGGGAGGCAGCAGUGAGGAAUAUUGGUCAAUGGGCGCAAGCCUGAACCAGCCAUCCCGCGUGCAGGAAGACGGCCCUAUGGGUUGUAAACUGUCUUUUCCAGGGAGAGAAACUUACGCACGUGUUGCGUGACUGACGGUCCCUGGGAAUAAGCAUCGGCUAACUCCGUG